GGGGAAUCUUAGACAAUGGGGGAAACCCUGAUCUAGCCAUGCCGCGUGGACGAUGAAGGCCUUAGGGUUGUAAAGUCCUUUCAGCUGGGAAGAUAAUGACGGUACCAGCAGAAGAAGCCCCGGCUAACUCCGUGCCAGCAGCCGCGGUAAUACGGAGGGGGCUAGCGUUGUUCGGAAUUACUGGGCGUAAAGGGUGCGUAGGCGGCCCUUUAAGUCGGAUGUGAAAGCCCGCGGCUUAACCGCGGUAUGGCAUUCGAAACUGGAGGGCUUGAGUGUCGGAGAGGGUAGUGGAAUUCCCAGUGUAGCGGUGAAAUGCGUAGAUAUUGGGAGGAACACCAGUGGCGAAGGCGACUACCUGGACGAUAACUGACGCUGAGGCACGAAAGCUAGGGGAGCAAACA
rnacentral:rRNA from 1 species